rnacentral:lncRNA from 1 species
AAAGGAGAUCCUAAGAAGCCGAGAAGCAAAAUGUCCUCAUAUGCAUUCUUUGUGCAAACUUGCCGGGAGGAGCACAAGAAAAAGCACCCGGAUGCUUCUGUCAACUUCUCAGAGUUCUCCAAGAAGUGCUCAGAGAGGUGGAAGACCAUGUCUGCUAAAGAAAAGGGGAAAUUUGAAGACAUGGCAAAGGCUGACAAGGCUCGUUAUGAAAGAGAAAUGAAAACCUACAUCCCCCCAAAGGGGAGACCAAAAAGAAGUUCAAGGACCCCAAUGCACCCAAGAGGCCUCCUUCAGCCUUCUUCUUGUUCUGUUCUGAGUACCACCCCAAAAUCAAAGGCGAGCAUCCUGGCUUAUCCAUUGGUGAUGUUGCAAAGAAACUAGGAGAGAUGUGGAACAACACUGCAGCAGAUGACAAGCAGCCCUAUGAGAAGAAAGCUGCCAAGCUGAAGGAGAAGUAUGAGAAGGAUAUUGCUGCCUACAGAGCUAAAGGAAAACCUGAUGCAUCGAAAAAGGGGGUGGUCAAGGCUGAGAGAGCAAGAAAAAGAAGGAAGAGGAAG